GUCAGAUGUGAAAGCCCAGGGCUCACCCCUGGAAUUGCAUUUGAAACUGUAUCCCUUGAGGGUAGGCGGAGAAAACGGAAUCCCACGUGUAGCGGUGAAAUGCGUAGAUAUGUGGAAGAACACCCGUGGCGAAGGCGGUUUUCUAGCUUAUUCCUGACGCUAAGGCACGAAAGCAAGGGGAGCGAACAGGAUUAGAUACCCUGGUAGUCCUUGCCGUAAACGAUGCAUACUAGGUGUAACCGGACUCAACCCCGGUUGUGCCGUAGCUAACGCGUUAAGUAUGCCGCCUGGGGAGUACGCUCGCAAGGGUGAAACUCAAAAGAAUUGACGGGGACCCGCACAAGCAGUGGAGCAUGUGGUUUAAUUCGAUGCAACGCGAAGAACCUUACCCAGGCUUGACAUGCAGAGGACCGCUACAGAAAUGUAGUUUCCCUUCGGGGCUUCUGCGCAGGUGCUGCAUGGCUGUCGUCAGCUCGUGCCGUGAGGUGUUGGGUUAAGUCCCGCAACGAGCGCAACCCUUAUCGUUAGUUGCCAACACGUAAUGGUGGGAACUCUAACGAGACUGCCUAGGUUAACUAGGAGGAAGGUGAGGAUGACGUCAAGUCCGCAUGGCCCUUACGUCUGGGGCUACACACGUGCUACAAUGGUCGGUACAAAAGGCAGCGAAGCCGCAAGGUGUAGCAAAUCCCUAAAGCCGGCCCCAGUUCGGAUUGUGGUCUGCAACUCGACCACAUGAAGUU
rnacentral:rRNA from 1 species